GACGAACGCUGACGGCGUGCUUAACACAUGCAAGUCGAACGGAAAGGCCCUGCUUUUGUGGGGUGCUCGAGUGACGAACGGGUGAGUAACACGUGAGUAACCUGCCCUUGACUUUGGGAUAACUUCAGGAAACUGGGGCUAAUACCGGAUAGGAGCUCCUGCUGCAUGGUGGGGGUUGGAAAGUUUCGGCGGUUGGGGAUGGACUCGCGGCUUAUCAGCUUGUUGGUGGGGUAGUGGCUUACCAAGGCUUUGACGGGUAGCCGGCCUGAGAGGGUGACCGGCCACAUUGGGACUGAGAUACGGCCCAGACUCCUACGGGAGGCAGCAGUGGGGAAUAUUGCACAAUGGGCGGAAGCCUGAUGCAGCAACGCCGCGUGCGGGAUGACGGCCUUCGGGUUGUAAACCGCUUUCGCCUGUGACGAAGCGUGAGUGACGGUAAUGGGUAAAGAAGCACCGGCUAACUACGUG
rnacentral:rRNA from 1 species